rnacentral:lncRNA from 1 species
UGGAUUCAUUUUCCCUGUCACAUUCAGGAGGGAAACAUGAUUGUUUUACUUGCUAUAAUUUGCAAGAGGCAACAAAUGGUGACAUUUUUAGUGAAGAACCAGCCAAAUGUACAUGCUGUUGACAAUUUCGAGAAGAACAGCCCACAUGCUUGCCACACAUCAUAACUUGCCAAGUAUAGUCAGCCUUCUCCUUGAAGAAAAUAUUAGAGUCUUUUCUCAGGAUAUGUUUGGACAAACAGCAGACGAUUAUGCUGUUUGUUGUGAUUUGAUAAGGCAGUCUUACUGCUAUUUUGUAGAACGUGGGAUUAUGCUGGAAAUGUCUGUUUUGAGAUUCUCCACAGAAAGUGUUUGCAAACCGCUGAAUGCACACCUCCUGGAUAUUUAUGAGUUGAAUGGUCGACUCUCUCCCAGGUGUUCUGUUUGCUUGUUAAAAAAGACCAAGGAAUAA